rnacentral:rRNA from 1 species
CCAAUAGCGUAUAUUAAAGUUGUUGCAGUUAAAAAGCUCGUAGUUGAAUUUCGGGGUUAGUAGGUUGGUCAUGCUUCUGGUAUGUACUGGUCUUACUGAUUCCUCCUUCCUGAUGAGCCGUAAUGCCAUUAAUUUGGUGUUGCGGGGAAUUUGGACUGUUACUUUGAAAAAAUUAGAGUGUUUAAAGCAAGCUAAUGCUUGAAUACAUUAGCAUGGAAUAAUGAAAUAGGACGUUCGAUCCUAUUUUGUUGGUUUCUAGGAUUGACGUAAUGAUUAAUAGGGAGUGUUGGGGGCAUUAGUAUUCAAUUGUCAGAGGUGAAAUUCUUGGAUUUAUUGAAGACUAAGUACUGCGAAAGCAUUUGCCAAGGAUGUUUUCAUUAAUCAAGAACGAAGGUUAGGGGAUCGAAGACGAUCAGAUACCGUCGUAGUCUUAACCAUAAACUAUGCCGACUAGGGAUCGGAUGAUGUUAAUUUUUUAAUGACUCAUUCGGCGCCUUACG